rnacentral:rRNA from 1 species
GACGAACGCUGGCGGCAUGCCUAACACAUGCAAGUCGAACGAAACGUUCGGGUCUUGUGGCGCACGGGUGCGUAACGCGUGGGAAGCGGCACUUAGGUUCGGAAUAACUAAGAGAAAUUUGAGCUAAUACCGGAUGAUGUCUUCUGACCAAAGAUUUAUUGCAUCUCGAUGGGCGCUCGUUGGAUUAGCUAGUUGGUAGUGUAAAGGCAUACGAAGGCGACGAUCCAUAGCUGGUCUGAGAGAAGGAUCAGCCACUCUGGGACUCAGAAACGGCCCAGAAUCUUACGGAAUGGAGGAGAGGGUAACAUAGGAACACGGGCGAAAGGCUGAUGGAGCAAUGAUGGGAAAGUGCUGAAGGCCUUAGGGUUGAAAUGUUCUUUUACCCGAGAUGAUAAUGACAGUAUCGGGUGAAUAAGCUACGGCUAACUCCGUG